rnacentral:rRNA from 1 species
UGCCAGCCGCCGCGGUAAUACAGAGGGUGCGAGCGUUAAUCGGAAUUACUGGGCGUAAAGCGAGUGUAGGUGGCUCAUUAAGUCACAUGUGAAAUCCCCGGGCUUAACCUGGGAACUGCUUUCAUAACUGCUGAGCUAGAGUACGGUAGAGGGUAGUGGAAUUUCCUGUGUAGCGGUGAAAUGCGUAGAUAUAGGAAGGAACACCAGUGGCGAAGGCGACUACCUGGACUGAUACUGACACUGAGGUGCGAAAGCGUGGGGAGCAAACAGGAUUAGAUA